rnacentral:rRNA from 1 species
UACGUAGGGGGCAAGCGUUGCCCGGAAUUAUUGGGCGUAAAGCGCGCGCAGGCGGCCUCUUAAGUCUGAUGUGAAAGCCCCCGGCUCAACCGGGGAGGGCCAUUGGAAACUGGGAGGCUUGAGUAUAGGAGAGAAGAGUGGAAUUCCACGUGUAGCGGUGAAAUGCGUAGAGAUGUGGAGGAACACCAGUGGCGAAGGCGACUCUUUGGCCUAUAACUGACGCUGAGGCGCGACAGCGUGGGGAGCAAACAGG